rnacentral:tRNA from 1 species
UCCUUAAUAGCUCAGUGGUAAGAGCUCUCGGCUGUUAACCGAGGGGUCGCUGGUUCAAAUCCAGCUUAAGGAGA